rnacentral:rRNA from 1 species
GACGAACGCUGGCGGCGUGCUUAACACAUGCAAGUCGAACGGAAAGGCCCUGCUUGCAGGGUACUCGAGUGGCGAACGGGUGAGUAACACGUGGGUGAUCUGCCCUGCACUUCGGGAUGAGCUUGGGAAACUGGGUCUAAUACCGGAUAGGACCGCACUUUAGUGUGUGUGGUGGAAAGUUUUUUCGGUGUAGGAUGAGCUCGCGGCCUAUCAGCUUGUUGGUGGGGUAAUGGCCUACCAAGGCGGCGACGGGUAGCCGGCCUGAGAGGGUGUACGGCCACAUUGGGACUGAGAUACGGCCCAGACUCCUACGGGAGGCAGCAGUGGGGAAUAUUGCACAAUGGGCGCAAGCCUGAUGCAGCGACGCCGCGUGGGGGAUGAAGGCCUUCGGGUUGUAAACUCCUUUCGCUAGGGACGAAGCUUUUUGUGACGGUACCUAGAUAAGAAGCACCGGCUAACUACGUG